GACGAACGCUGGCGGCGUGCUUAACACAUGCAAGUCGAACGAAGUGGCGAACGGGUGAGUAACGCGUAAUCAACCUGCCCUUCAGAGGGGGACAACAGUUGGAAACGACUGCUAAUCCCGCAUACUGAAGGAGGGGAUUGCUUCUGAUUAGCUGGUUGGCGGGGUAACGGCCCACCAAGGCGAUGAUCAGUAGCGUGGCUGGGAGGAUGAACGGCCAACAUGGGACUGGGACACGGCCCAGACUCCUACGGGGGGCAGCAGGGGGGAAACUUCGGCAAUGGACGGAAGUCCGACGGAGCAACGCCGCGGGAGUGAUGACGGCCUUCGGGUUGUAAAGCUCUUUUAAUCGGGACGCGGUACCGGAAUAGAAAGCCACGGCUAACUACGUGCCAGCAGCCGCGGUAAUAC
rnacentral:rRNA from 1 species